AAAAAAUCAGAGAAUUUUGAAGAAAGACACAAAGGUUUUAAACCCUUCUUCUUUUCUUCUUCUUCCUCCUCGUCUUUCCCCCAUUCCUUUGCCUUCUUUUGUUUCUCUUUUACCCAGCAAACCGAGGGAUUGACCUUCAUAGGGCUAUCUUCAGGGGCACUCUCUUCACUUUCUUGAAGUUUUGAAAAGAAAAUCGUAUCAUUGGACUCAAAUUGAAUUAAUCUCUCUCGACGACCAAUUUUAGAGUUUUUAGAAAUCAGAGAUCCUGUCCUCUUAUGUUGUCGACACGAAGAAGAAAAAUGAUAAG
rnacentral:ribozyme from 13 species